rnacentral:rRNA from 1 species
AGUGAACGCUGGCGGUAGGCCUAACACAUGCAAGUCGAACGGCAGCACAGUAAGAGCUUGCUCUUACGGGUGGCGAGUGGCGGACGGGUGAGGAAUACAUCGGAAUCUACUUUCUCGUGGGGGAUAACGUAGGGAAACUUACGCUAAUACCGCAUACGACCUACGGGUGAAAGCAGGGGAUCUUCGGACCUUGCGCGAUUGAAUGAGCCGAUGUCGGAUUAGCUAGUUGGCGGGGUAAAGGCCCACCAAGGCGACGAUCCGUAGCUGGUCUGAGAGGAUGAUCAGCCACACUGGAACUGAGACACGGUCCAGACUCCUACGGGAGGCAGCAGUGGGGAAUAUUGGACAAUGGGCGCAAGCCUGAUCCAGCCAUACCGCGUGAGUGAAGAAGGCCUUCGGGUUGUAAAGCCCUUUUGUUGGGAAAGAAAAGCAGCAGGUUAAUACCCCGCUGUUCUGACGGUACCCAAAGAAUAAGCACCGGCUAACUUCGUG